rnacentral:sRNA from 1 species
AUAUGAACAACGCAAAUUAUCAACACUGCCUUAAAAGCAUUUUCGAUUCGAGAGCCCGCUGUGCCUUAAACACGUGCAGUGUGUCCGGCUCCAUGACGACGAAAACCGUCUGUGCUAGUGGAGAGGAAAGGAUUUCAUCAGAGGAUCUUGGGUGCCGUUGGCUUCUAGUCUUUUUGGAGACGGUGAGGUCGAGGGCAAUGAUCAGCUGUACAU